GGCUGGAGACAGUGAGGAGUAAUGUGAGAUGAGGAAGAUAGACUGGAAAAUAAACACAGAUAAAGAGUGGAAAGGAAAACUACAGUGGAGAAAGGAACACAGAUGGAGGAAGAUAAGUGGUUACCUAGCAACGCUGACCUCACUUCGUAGGAUUGGCUCCCUGCCCGGCGCAGCCUACUGACGUCAUCGUUCCGGGACGAGUGCUCUCGUGCUGACGGACGGGGCGCGGGACAGGUUGAACCAAGAUGUAUGCCGGCCUGAGGGAAUCUCGCCCUGACCAAGGAGUAUGGUGCUAUGAAUCAGGCACAUUCUUGAUGAUAGUUGGAUUCAUCUUUUUGUUUUCUUUGGAUCAUGUUUGAACAGCAUACAGCAGACCAGACAUUAACUUUGAAAGCGAACAUAAAAAGAUCCAGUAGAUCACUCUAUGAACUGGAUUCAGUUUGGGAGAAAAAGAAUAUUGGACAUAACACUUAAUAAUACAUAGAAGCCAAGGGUGGAUUGUAACAGUAUUGAUUUCUGACCUACAGCUAACUAUUUGUCUUCUAUGUAUAAAAUGUGUACACAU